rnacentral:rRNA from 1 species
GGUGAGUAAUGUCUGGGAAACUGCAUGAUGGAGGGGGAUAACUACUGGAAACGGUAGCUAAUACCGCAUAACGUCGCAAGACCAAAGAGGGGACCUUCGGGCCUCUUGCCAUCAGAUGUGCCCAGAUGGGAUUAGCUUGUUGGUGGGGUAACGGCUCACCAAGGCGACGAUCCCUAGCUGGUCUGAGAGGAUGACCAGCCACACUGGAACUGAGACACGGUCCAG